CUCUCUCGUCUCACUAAUGUGGAUUAACUCAGACAUGAUAAUCCCAACACAAUCCGUGUGUCUUCGGUCUCUUCUUUUAUCUGCUGGCUUUUUGUUGUCUUUAAUCUUUCUACCUUCCACUGAGUCUCUAACUGUGGACAUAGAAGUGUUUGAGUACAUCUGCUCUUCUGACACGAAGCUCCGCCCCUCUGCUCCUGGUUCAGGUUCUGGUGAACGGAAACAUCAACACCUACGUGAUAAAGGGACUGAGCCCCCUCACAGAGUACGAAGUCCUCCUCGCUGCCAUCUACGCCAACGAGGCGGAGAGCGACAAGGUCGCCCUCGUUGAGUCCACCGUGGAAAAAACGACCACCGUCGCUACAACGACCACCACCACAGCAACUCCUCGUUUCGGGUUCAGGAACAUGAGGAUCGAUGAGGAAACCACCUUCAGUAUGCGGGUGGCCUGGCAGCCCACGGACACCAGGAACGUCCGACACUAUCGACUGAGCUACGUCAGCGCCAAGGGAGACCGAGCAGAGGAGCAGGUA